UGUGUCUCAGUGUCUCCCUCAGCCUGGAUUGUGAGAGGGCACAGGCCAGGCUGAGGGACCCCACUGGUGCACA
rnacentral:pre_miRNA from 1 species